rnacentral:tRNA from 1 species
UAAUUUGGGUAGCUUAAUAUAAAGUUUAACUUUGAAAAGGUUAAGAUAAAAUUUUUCCCUAAUA